UACGAGGGGUCCUAGCGUUGUUCGGAAUCAUUGGGCGUAAAGAGUAUGUAGGCGGCUAGAUAAGUCAGGUGUGAAAUCCCCGGGCUCAACCCGGGAAGUGCAUUUGAUACUGUCUAGCUUGAGUAUGGAAGAGGGUAGUGGAAUUCCUGGUGUAGUGGUGAAAUACGUAGAUAUCAGGAGGAACACCGGUGGCGAAGGCGGCUGCCUGGUCCUAUACUGACGCUGAGAUACGAAAGCGUGGGGAGCAAACA
rnacentral:rRNA from 1 species